AAGUUACUUAAGUGUUCGCCAUUCCUGAAUAUCAGUUGACCGAACAUUCUCAAUACAUUGGGACCACAAGACCGCAUUGACGAAUGACCUAUUUCACGUAGGACUCAGAUUAAUCCGGCUAGGUCCCACCUGCCUAAUAGCGGGUUCACACGAUUAAGGAAGUUACACGGCACCCAAAGUUCUUCA
rnacentral:other from 1 species